rnacentral:rRNA from 1 species
GACGAACCGUGCGAACGUUGUUCGGAUUCACUGGGCUUAAAGGGCGCGUAGGCGGACGGUCAAGUCGGGGGUGAAAUCUUUCAGCUUAACUGGAAAAGUGCCUCCGAUACUGAUCGUCUCGAGGGAGGUAGGGGCAUGUGGAACUUCCGGUGGAGCGGUGAAAUGCGUAGAUAUCAGGAGGAACACCGGUGGCGAAGGCGGGUCUCUGGGCAGUAACUGACGCUGAGGAGCGAAAGCGUGGGGAGCGAACAGG